rnacentral:snRNA from 1 species
UCUUUAUCUUUCUUUAUCACAAGCUUUGCGUGUCAUGCUCGCGCAGAAGCCAUGCUAAUCUUCUCUGUAUUGUUCCAGUUUUAGUAUAUGUUCAUGAAUGAAC